UACGUAGGGGGCAAGCGUUGUCCGGAUUAUUGGGCGUAAAGAGCGUGUAGGCGGCUAGGUAGGUCCGUUGUGAAAACUCGAGCUCAACCUCGAGACGCCGGUGGAAACCAUCUAGCUAGAGUCCGGAAGAGGAGAGUGGAAUUCCUGGUGUAGCGGUGAAAUGCGCAGAUAUCAGGAAGAACACCCGUGGCGAAGGCGGCUCUCUGGGACGUGACUGACGCUGAGACGCGAAAGCGUGGGGAGCGAACAGG
rnacentral:rRNA from 1 species